AACGAACGCUGGCGGCAGGCUUAACACAUGCAAGUCGAGCGCCCCGCAAGGGGAGCGGCAGACGGGUGAGUAACGCGUGGGAAUCUACCCAUCUCUACGGAAUAACGCAUGGAAACGUGUGCUAAUACCGUAUACGUCCUUCGGGAGAAAGAUUUAUCGGAGAUGGAUGAGCCCGCGUUGGAUUAGCUAGUUGGUGGGGUAAAGGCCUACCAAGGCGACGAUCCAUAGCUGGUCAGAGAGGAUGAUCAGCCACACUGGGACUGAGACACGGCCCAGACUCCUGCGGGAGGCAGCAGUGGGGAAUAUUGGACUAUGGGCGCAAGCCUGAUCCAGCCAUGCCGCGUGAGUGAUGAAGGCCCUAGGGUUGUAAAGCUCUUUCACCGGUGAAGAUAAUGACGGUAACCGGAGAAGAAGCCCCGGCUAACUUCGUGCCAGCCGCCGCGGUAACAC
rnacentral:rRNA from 1 species